rnacentral:rRNA from 1 species
GCUACGGGUGGCAGCAGGGGGGAAUAUUGCGCAAUGGGGGCAACCCGGACGCAGCAACGCCGCGUGAUUGAAGACGGCCUUCGGGUUGUAAAGAUCUUUAAUCGGGGACGAAUUUUGACGGUACCCGAAGAAUAAGCUCCGGCUAACUACGUGCCAGCAGCCGCGGGAAUAGGUAGGGAGCAAGCGUUAGCCGGAUUUACGGGGUGUAAAGGGCGGGUAGGCGGGCAUGGAAGCCAGAAGUGAAAUCUGGGGGCUUAACCCCCAAACUGCUUUUGGAACUGCGUGUCUUGAGUGAUGGAGAGGCAGGCGGAAUUCCCAGUGUAGCGGUGAAAUGCGUAGAUAGUGGGAGGAACACCAGUGGCGAAGGCGGCCUGCUGGACAUUAACUGACGCUGAGGCGCGGAAGCGUGGGGAGCAAACAGGAUUAGAUACCCGUGUAGUC